rnacentral:rRNA from 1 species
UGGGGAAUAUUGCACAAUGGGCGAAAGCCUGAUGCAGCAACGCCGCGUGAGGGACGACGGCCUUCGGGUUGUAAACCUCUUUUAGUAGGGAAGAAGCGAAAGUGACGGUACCUGCAGAAAAAGCACCGGCUAACUACGUGCCAGCAGCCGCGGUAAUACGUAGGGUGCAAGCGUUGUCCGGAAUUAUUGGGCGUAAAGAGCUCGUAGGCGGUUUGUCGCGUCUGCUGUGAAAUCCGGAGGCUCAACCUCCGGCCUGCAGUGGGUACGGGCAGACUAGAGUGCGGUAGGGGAGAUUGGAAUUCCUGGUGUAGCGGUGGAAUGCGCAGAUAUCAGGAGGAACACCAAUGGCGAAGGCAGAUCUCUGGGCCGUAACUGACGCUGAGGAGCGAAAGCAUGGGGAGCGAACAGG